GAGUUUGAUCCUGGCUCAGGAUGAACGCUGGCGGCGUGCUUAACACAUGCAAGUCGAACGGUGAACACGGAGCUUGCUCUGUGGGAUCAGUGGCGAACGGGUGAGUAACACGUGAGCAACCUGCCCCUGACUCUGGGAUAAGCGCUGGAAACGGCGUCUAAUACUGGAUAUGUGACGUGACCGCAUGGUCUGCGUCUGGAAAGAAUUUCGGUUGGGGAUGGGCUCGCGGCCUAUCAGCUUGUUGGUGAGGUAAUGGCUCACCAAGGCGUCGACGGGUAGCCGGCCUGAGAGGGUGACCGGCCACACUGGGACUGAGACACGGCCCAGACUCCUACGGGAGGCAGCAGUGGGGAAUAUUGCACAAUGGGCGCAAGCCUGAUGCAGCAACGCCGCGUGAGGGACGACGGCCUUCGGGUUGUAAACCUCUUUUAGCAGGGAAGAAGCGAAAGUGACGGUACCUGCAGAAAAAGCGCCGGCUAACUACGUG
rnacentral:rRNA from 1 species